UAUAUUUGUAAUAUGAUUGGA
rnacentral:piRNA from 1 species